UACAGAGGUCUCAAGCGUUCUUCGGAAUUACUGGGCGUAAAGCGCACGUAGGCGGAUUGGAAAGUUGGAGGUGAAAUCCCAGGGCUCAACCUUGGAACUGCCUUUGAAACUCCUGAUCUUGAGGUCGAGAGAGGUGAGUGGAAUUCCGAGUGUAGAGGUGAAAUUCGUAGAUAUUCGGAGGAACACCAGUGGCGAAGGCGGCUCGCUGGAUCCCUUCUGACGCUGAGGCGCGAAAGCCAGGGGAGCAAACGGG
rnacentral:rRNA from 1 species